CCCUUAGAUGUUCUGGGCCGCACGCGCGCUACACUGAUGCAUUCAACGAGUCUAAAACCUGCUCUGAUAGGGGUGGGUAAUCUUUUGAAUGUGCAUCGUGAUUGGGAUAGAUGAUUGCAAUUUUUCAUCUUCAACGAGGAAUGCCUAGUAAACGCAAGUCAUCAGCUUGCAUUGAUUACGUCCCUGCCCUUUGUACACACCGCCCGUCGCUCCUACCGAUUGAAUGAUCCGAUGAAUAUCAUGGAUUGAGGAUGCACGUAGGUUCGCCUAUCUUCAUCUUCGAGAAGUGAAGUAAAUCUUAUCAUUUAGAGGAAGGAGAAGUCGUAACA
rnacentral:rRNA from 1 species